GUUAGGAAUAUUGGACAAUGGGCGCAAGCCUGAUCCAGCCAUGCCGCGUGAGUGAUGAAGGCCUUAGGGUUGUAAAGCUCUUUCAGUAGGGAAGAUAAUGACGGUACCUACAGAAGAAGCCCCGGCUAACUUCGUGCCAGCAGCCGCGGUAAUACGAAGGGGGCUAGCGUUGUUCGGAUUUACUGGGCGUAAAGCGCACGUAGGCGGAUUGGUCAGUUAGAGGUGAAAUCCUGGAGCUCAACUCCAGAACUGCCUUUAAUACUGCCAGUCUAGAGUCCAGAAGAGGUGAGUGGAACUCCUAGUGUAGAGGUGGAAUUCGUAGAUAUUAGGAAGAACACCAGUGGCGAAGGCGGCUCACUGGUCUGGUACUGACGCUGAGGUGCGAAAGCGUGGGGAGCAAACAGGAUUAGAAACCCGGGUAGUCC
rnacentral:rRNA from 1 species